rnacentral:rRNA from 1 species
AGUGAACGCUGGCGGCAGGCCUAAUACAUGCAAGUCGAACGGCAGCACAGCAGAGCUUGCUCUGUGGGUGGCGAGUGGCGGACGGGUGAGGAAUACGUGGGAAUCUGCCCAGUCGUGGGGGAUAACGUAGGGAAACUUACGCUAAUACCGCAUGCGCCCUUCGGGGAAAGCCGGGGACCUUCGGGCCUGGCGCGAUUGGAUGAGCCCACGUCGGAUUAGCUAGUUGGCGGGGUAAAGGCCCACCAAGGCGACGAUCCGUAGCUGGUCUGAGAGGAUGAUCAGCCACACUGGAACUGAGACACGGUCCAGACUCCUACGGGAGGCAGCAGUAGGGAAUAUUGGACAAUGGGCGCAAGCCUGAUCCAGCCAUGCCUCGUGAGUGAAGAAGGCCCUCGGGUUGUAAAGCUCUUUUGUCCGGAAGAAAGCGCCGGGUUAAUACCCUGGUGUCCUGACGGUACCGGAAGAAUAAGCACCGGCUAACUUCGUGCCAGCAGCCGCGGUAA